CUAACGGCAAUAGCGAUAGCGAGGGCGGCUCCUCACAGAAUCAGGCGGACAUUAUCAUCACCUCUUCAAGUUCUUACAUGUCCUGCAACAUACCCAGAGGACUAUUCAUCAGACCGUUCAAAAGGUUGAACCUUUGCCGGAAUCUGAGCCUGCCCACAAGUUCCAGCCUGGAGACCUUGUGUCGAGCCCCCAAGACUCAGGAAUAACUCUUGGCUUCUAAGAAUUUGGAACAAAAAUUGAGUCAGAUUUGGGAACUGAUCUUUGACCACAUAGGGAGGCAGCAGGAGACAUGCUAAAGGCUGAUUCUAGGAUUCUUCAGCCUUGACUCCCACCCAUGCCUCCAUGCACCCCAACUCUGUUGUUUCCUGUAGAGAGCUAGGCAGCGAGUGAGACAGGAAAGGCAUGAUGUCACUUGCCAGCUUCCCAGCUGGGUUCCUGCUUGAAGACCAAAGGACCGGUGUUUGAUGAGUUGGCAACAACGACUGCAAUUGUCAGUUUGGGAUCUGUCACUUCCUGUGACAUCAGCCUUCUCUCUGAAGUGGGAGUUGAGUAUCAGCCCUGACUUACUGGGUUGGAUCACAUGACACAGACUCACUUGUGGCUUGCUGGGAUUCGCAUCGGUCCUAAUUCAAAGUACCAGCCUUCCUUUUUGUUUCUGACUUUAGCUAGUCUUGUCUGACAUGAAGGGCUGUAUGGUCUCCUCAGUGUCACCUCUCACAAGUGGACCAGGCAAGGACCAGAACUCUGAGCUUUGUCCAGAAGCUGAGUUUUUGGCUGCUCGUGCUGAACUCUGAGCAGCUCGUCCUCUCUUUAUGAAGGAGCAGCACCACUCUGGCAAUAUUUGGCCCUUAUCCCACCAAUCCGCCUCUGGCCUGAUUGACUCAGCCAAGCAUAAGGCCUGACCUGCCAGGUCACAGAGCUGGCAUGUGCAGCAGGUACACACCACCAAAUGUCAAUUUGCCUUCAGGAUGAACACAAGUAGUCUCUGAAAGCAAGAACAGGUUGCAUGAGGAAGUGACCCAAGUGGCCUGCUGCUUUCCCCUCCACAGCCUGAACUUAAGCCUCCCUGAUGAGCUCUUUGUGAUUGACUAAAUAGGAACAAGUGCAUGCUGGCUAUAUAUGGUUCUAUGUGAUGUGCCUAUCCUACUUGAAAGUUGAUUGCUGGAACACCAUGUGUCUUUCUGGAACAUGCCUGAGGACAAAUGGUGAAGAGAAACCCUCCAGGUGACAGGACACCGAGCAGGGUUAUUUAUUUUUCCUUUGGUUUUGAAGAAUAAAUGACUUAC